rnacentral:rRNA from 1 species
CCUACGGGUGGCAGCAGUAGGGAAUAUUGCUCAAUGGGGGCAACCCUGAAGCAGCAAUGCCGCGUGUAUGAUGAAGGUUUUCGGAUUGUAAAGUACUUUUGGUCGGGAGGAUAGUGUCAAUGUCUAUCAAAUUAGCACUGGACAACUCCGGCCCAGCAGCCGCGGGAAAACUGAGGGUGCAAGCGUUACUCGGAAUUACUGGGCGUAACGUGCACGGAGGCGGGUUAGCAAGUCAGAUGUGAAAUCCCAUGGCUUAACCAGAGAAGUGCAUUUGAAACUGUUCAUCUAGAGUAUUGGAGAGGUAGGUAGAAUUCUAGGUGUAGGGGUAAAAUCCGUAGAGAUGAAGAGGAAUACUCAUUGCGAAGGCGACCUGCUAGAACAUAACUGACGCUGAUGUGCGAAAGCGUGGGGAGCAAACAGGAUUAGAUACCCUUGUAGUC